GAUGAACGCUGGCGGCGUGCCUAAUACAUGCAAGUCGAGCGAACAGACGAGGAGCUUGCUCCUCUGACGUUAGCGGCGGACGGGUGAGUAACACGUGGAUAACCUACCUAUAAGACUGGGAUAACUUCGGGAAACCGGAGCUAAUACCGGAUAAUAUAUUGAACCGCAUGGUUCAAUAGUGAAAGACGGUUUUGCUGUCACUUAUAGAUGGAUCCGCGCCGCAUUAGCUAGUUGGUAAGGUAACGGCUUACCAAGGCGACGAUGCGUAGCCGACCUGAGAGGGUGAUCGGCCACACUGGAACUGAGACACGGUCCAGACUCCUACGGGAGGCAGCAGUAGGGAAUCUGCCGCAAUGGGCGAAAGCCUGACGGAGCAACGCCGCGUGAGUGAUGAAGGUCUUCGGAUCGUAAAACUCUGUUAUUAGGGAAGAACAAAUGUGUAAGUAACUAUGCACGUCUUGACGGUACCUAAUCAGAAAGCCACGGCUAACUACG
rnacentral:rRNA from 1 species